rnacentral:rRNA from 1 species
UACGGGGGGGGCAAGCGUUGUUCGGAAUUACUGGGCGUAAAGGGCUCGUAGGCGGCCAACUAAGUCAGACGUGAAAUCCCUCGGCUUAACCGGGGAACUGCGUCUGAUACUGGAUGGCUUGAGGUUGGGAGAGGGAUGCGGAAUUCCAGGUGUAGCGGUGAAAUGCGUAGAUAUCUGGAGGAACACCGGUGGCGAAGGCGGCAUUCUGGACCAAUAUUGACGCUGAGGAGCGAAAGCCAGGGGAGCAAACGGG